rnacentral:rRNA from 1 species
CCCUUAGAUGUUCUGGGCCGCACGCGCGCUACACUGAUGAACGCAACGAGACGACCUGUACCGAAAGGCAUGGGUAAACUUGUGAAAGUUCAUCGUGAUGGGGAUAGAUUAUUGCAAUUAUUAAUCUUCAACGAGGAAUUCCUAGUAAGCGCGAGUCAUCAGCUCGCGUUGAUUACGUCCCUGCCCUUUGUACACACCGCCCGUCGCUCCUACCGAUUGAGUGGUCCGGUGAGGCUUUGGGAUCUGAGCGGAAAGAGCGUUUCGCUGUUUCUGCUCGGAAAACUCAGUCGAACCUUAUCAUUUAGAGGAAGGAGAAGUCGUAACA